AGUUUGAUCAUGGCUCAGAUUGAACGCUGGCGGCAGGCUUAACACAUGCAAGUCGAGCGGGGAAAGGUAGCUUGCUACCUUACCUAGCGGCGGACGGGUGAGUAAUGCUUAGGAAUCUGCCUAUUAGUGGGGGACAACAUUUCGAAAGGAAUGCUAAUACCGCAUACGCCCUACGGGGGAAAGCAGGGGACCUUCGGGCCUUGCGCUAAUAGAUGAGCCUAAGUCGGAUUAGCUAGUUGGUGGGGUAAAGGCCUACCAAGGCGACGAUCUGUAGCGGGUCUGAGAGGAUGAUCCGCCACACUGGGACUGAGACACGGCCCAGACUCCUACGGGAGGCAGCAGUGGGGAAUAUUGGACAAUGGGGGGAACCCUGAUCCAGCCAUGCCGCGUGUGUGAAGAAGGCCUUUUGGUUGUAAAGCACUUUAAGCGAGGAGGAGGCUCCCUAUAUUAAUACUACUGGAUAGUGGACGUUACUCGCAGAAUAAGCACCGGCUAACUCUGUGCCAGCAGCCGCGGUAAUACAGAGGGUGCAAGCGUUAAUCGGAUUUACUGGGCGUAAAGCGUGCGUAGGUGGCCAAUUAAGUCAAAUGUGAAAUCCCCGAGCUUAACUUGGGAAUUGCAUUCGAUACUGGUUGGCUAGAGUAUGGGAGAGGAUGGUAGAAUUCCAGGUGUAGCGGUGAAAUGCGUAGAGAUCUGGAGGAAUACCGAUGGCGAAAGCAGCCAUCUGGGCCUAAUACUGACACUGAGGUACGAAAGCAUGGGGAGCAAACAGGAUUAGAUACCCUGGUAGUCCAUGCCGUAAACGAUGUCUACUAGCCGUUGGGGUCUUUGAGACUUUAGUGGCGCAGCUAACGCGAUAAGUAGACCGCCUGGGG
rnacentral:rRNA from 1 species